rnacentral:rRNA from 1 species
GACGAACGCUGGCGGCGUGCCUAACACAUGCAAGUCGAACGGGGUGAACCUCUUCGGAGAUUCACUUAGUGGCGAACGGGUGAGUAACGCGUGAGGAACCUGCCUUCCAGUGGGGGACAACAGUUGGAAACGACUGCUAAUACCGCAUAAUGUAGCGAGACCGCAUGAUCUUGCUACCAAAGCUUUAUGUGCUGGAAGAUGGCCUCGCGUCUGAUUAGAUAGUUGGUGAGGUAACGGCUCACCAAGUCGACGAUCAGUAGCCGGUCUGAGAGGAUGAACGGCCACAUUGGGACUGAGAUACGGCCCAGACUCCUACGGGAGGCAGCAGUGGGGAAUAUUGGGCAAUGGGGGAAACCCUGACCCAGCAACGCCGCGUGGAGGAAGAAGGUUUUCGGAUCGUAAACUCCUGUCCUCAGGGAAGAGCAGAAGACGGUACCUGAGGAGGAAGCCCCGGCGUAACUACGUG